rnacentral:rRNA from 1 species
UACGUAGGGGGCAAGCGUUGUCCGGAUUUAUUGGGCGUAAAGAGCGUGUAGGCGGCCAUACAGGUCAGCUGUGAAAACUCGAGGCUCAACCUCGAGACGUCGGUUGAAACCGUAUGGCUAGAGUCCGGAAGAGGAGAGUGGAAUUCCCGGUGUAGCGGUGAAAUGCGCAGAUAUCGGGAAGAACACCCGUGGCGAAGGCGGCUCUCUGGGCAUGUCCUGACGCUGAGGAGCGAAAGUGUGGGGAGCCGAACGAGG